rnacentral:rRNA from 1 species
AAUGAACGCUGGCGGCAGGCCUAACACAUGCAAGUCGAACGGGAUCUUCGGAUCUAGUGGCGGACGGGUGAGUAACGCGUGGGAACGUGCCCUUUGCUUCGGAAUAGCCCCGGGAAACUGGGAGUAAUACCGGAUGUGCCCUUUGGGGGAAAGAUUUAUCGGCAAAGGAUCGGCCCGCGUUGGAUUAGGUAGUUGGUGGGGUAAUGGCCUACCAAGCCGACGAUCCAUAGCUGGUUUGAGAGGAUGAUCAGCCACACUGGGACUGAGACACGGCCCAGACUCCUACGGGAGGCAGCAGUGGGGAAUCUUAGACAAUGGGGGAAACCCUGAUCUAGCCAUGCCGCGUGAGCGAUGAAGGCCUUAGGGUUGUAAAGCUCUUUCAGCUGGGAAGAUAAUGACUGUACCAGCAGAAGAAGCCCCGGCUAACUCCGUGCCAGCAGCCGCGUAAAGGACU